AAGACUGUACUUUCAGGGAUCAUUUCUAUAGUUUGUUGCUAGAGAAGUUUCUUUGAACAUGUAGAAUAUCCCAAAAAGUU
rnacentral:snoRNA from 1 species